AAAAGAAGAUCAAGAAGAGCUUCAGAAUGAAGCUUUCUUGAUGGAGGGGAGCGGCAGACGGGUGAGUAACACGUGGGAAUCUACCCAUCCCUGCGGAACAACUCCGGGAAACUGGAGCUAAUACCGCAUACGCCCUUCGGGGGAAAGAUUUAUCGGGGAUGGAUGAGCCCGCGUUGGAUUAGCUAGUUGGUGGGGUAAAGGCCUACCAAGGCGACGAUCCAGAGCGGGUCUGAGAGGAUGAUCAGCCCCAUUGGGACUGAGACACGGCCCAAACUCCUACGGGAGGCAGCAGUGGGGAAUAUUGGACAAUGGGCGCAAGCCUGAUCCAGCCAUGCCGCGUGAGUGAUGAAGGCCUUAGGGUUGUAAAGCUCUUUCACCGAUGAAGAUAAUGACGGUAGUCGGAGAAGAAGCCCCGGCUAACUUCGUGCCAGCAGCCGCGGUAA
rnacentral:rRNA from 1 species